CGCCUUCUCUUAUCUGCUUUCUGCCCUAGGAGUAGGAGUAAUAGAAAAAGAGAGGUUAGUAUUAUUGACCCAAUGAGUCAACAAGGGCAAGCUCUGCUUGCCUUUGGACACGCGGUUGCGAAAGUCGAUGCAGACUCUCACAGGGAAGGAUAGGAGAAAGGCUAUAAAUUGAGCUAAUGCCCUCUUCCAGCCAAGUAGGGGAUAGAAGAAUUCCCAAGAUGUUCUGGUCGCGGCCGAAGCUUUACAUGGCGAAAGCAACGAAAUUCCUUUUCUAGAGCACCUGUUAGAGGAUUUAACCAACAACGGAGUAGCUCGAAAUAUCGUAAUAGAAUCCAACGUCUGUCGCACAAGGACAUCAACUUUUUACCGAAGACCAUGAAGUGGAGCUCGGAUAGAAUGGUGGGUGCGAUAAGAGAAAAUGGUGCUAGUUGCGCAAAAUUUGCUAAGCUCUUUAGGGUGAGAGGUUUGACUCAAGACCUUUCUUUGGUCUCCUUCAGAUCUCUCCUCAAUUCCCAUCAUCCUUUCGGCCUCAUGGCGGUGCAUCAUAAGAAUGUUUAGGCUGCUCUCAUUUCGCUCGCCGCUACUACGGGAAUCGCUUUUGCUUUCUUUUCCUCUGGCUACUAAGAUGUUUCAGUUCACCAGGUUGUCUCUUGCCCGCCCAUGGAUUCAACAGCAGUUUGAAAGGUUGCCCUAUUCGGGAAUAUCCGGAUCUAUGCUUAUUUUCAACUCCCCGAAGCAUUUCGUCUUCAUAGGGCAAUUGUCACUGCUUAUGGAACCGAACCUGGGUGAUCUAUCCAUGACCAGGAUGAAGCUUGGGUGAAACUAAGUGGAGGUCUGAAUCGACUGAUGUCGAAGAAUCAGCGGAUGAGUUGUGGUUAGGGGUGAAAUGCCACUCGAACCCAGAGUUAGCUGGUUCUCCCUGAAAUGCGUUGAGGCGCAGCAGUUGACUGGACAUCCAGGGGUAAAGCACUAUUUCGGUGCGUGUUGCGAGAGCGGUACCAUAUCGAGGCAAACUCUAAAUACUAGAUAUGACCUCAAAAUAACAGGGGUCAAGGUUGACCAGUGAGACGAUGGGGGAUAAGCUUCAUCAUCGAGAGGGAAACAGCCCGAAUCACCAGCUAAGGCCCCUAAAUGACCGCUCAGUGAUAAAGGAGGUAGGGGUGCAGAGACAGCCAGGAGGUUUGCCUAGAAGCAACCACCCUUGAAAAAGUGCAUAAUAGCUCACUAAUCUAGCGCUCUUGCGCUGAAAAUGAACGGGGCUAAGCGAUCUGUCGAAGCUGUGGGAUGUAAAAAUACAUCGGUAGGAGAGCGUUCCACCUUAGAGAGAAGCCUUCGUGUGAGCAGUGGUGGACGAAGCGGAAGCGAGAAUGUUGGCUUGAGUAACGCAAACAUUGGUGAGAAUCUAAUGCCCCAAAAACCUAAGGGUUCCUCCGCAAGGUUUGUCCACGAAGGGUGAGUCAGGGCCUAAGAUUAGGCCGAAAGGUGUAGUCGAUGGACAACAGGUGAAUAUUCUUGUACUAUUGUUUGUUGGUCCGGAGAGACGGAGGAGGCUUUCAUUAAGCGAUUUAUUAGAUAAUCGAAAACAGAGAAUCUUGAAUACUAUUCGAAACUCAGAAGAACUCCGUGGAGGCGCCAUUGAACAGCUGGAAAAAGCUCGCGCUCACUUACGAAAAGUUGAAAUUGAAGCAGAUCAGUUUCAAGUAAAUGGAUACUCUGAAAUAGAGUGAGAAAAGUUGAAUUUAGGAAGCUUUUUCUUACCCUGGUGAGUAGUACCCGGUCCCAAAAGGCAGGAAGAUCGAAAAUCAGUUAUCCGUUUGCAGUUUUCCAUGCUUUUCCUCUUUUCUUUCCUUUUCUCCCUGUAGUGAUUGUUGGAAAGGUGUAUGACACUCCCCAGUCAAUUGAGCUUGAGCUUGAGGAUGGGGGGUACUUUUCACCCUCCCGGGGACAAUUUUGCAUCUUAUAUUUUUGUUGUGACAGUGCAAUAGAAAAUGGAUGCGAAAAGGAGACUUUCAUUUCUAUUUCUUUUUAAUUUGAUUGAUAUCGCUGGUUCAAUUCGGAGAAGGAAAGGCUUACUUGACUUUCCGCGCAGAGCCUAAGGCAGCCGGAUCUCCUAGGGGUAUGGUUCGCCGAAUAGCAAAACGAAAUCUUCCUGUCUCCUUUGUUGUAAUUAGAGUUCAUUGACCUAAUAUGAAAAGAGGUAGAGUUACUUUCCGAUACGAAGUUGGCUUCAAAAAGGGCUGCCAAGCUAAUCGUUUUCCAGCUACGCUUGCGUGAUUUGCACUUCUGAUUGGUUUCAUCCAUCAUCCCCAACCUUAAUGAAUGGACUAUGAAGGGGUUAGUCAAGCGGUUCGGGUUUUCGAUCGGUUCUCGUUCGCCUGCCCCCGCUUUAGUGGGUAGAGUGGUCAACUUAGAGGGCGACCGCCUUCUCUUCAAAUGGACUACCCAUCGAGGAGAGAGCUCUUAUGCCAUACGAAAGGGAUUGAAUGGGUAGCGAACUCAACCCUUGUAGCAAGAAAAGGAUGAAAUAGCUCAUAGCCCGGGUACGGCUCCCCUUUAUUACUUCUCUUAUUUAUUAUUUAUUGGCCUAUCAUUCCAAGGGUUGGGUUGUUUGCCCAUUAAAGCGGUACGUGAGCUGGGUUCAGAACGUCGUGAGACAGUUCGGUCUAUAUUCGAUGUGGGCGUUAGAGCAUUGAGAGGACCUUUUCCUAGUACGAGAGGACCGGGAAAGACGCACCUCUGGUGCACCUUCUUGUCUUGGUAUUGAUCUCCACCUUCAAAUUUGAGUAUCUUACUACUAAAGGGAUGGUACCAGAUACUGACUCAAUGGCAGAAGUUUGAUCAUCUAUAGUAGAAAGCUCAGUAAAGGGCUAGGAAGUAAGCCCCACAACCCAAAGCGGCGAAGAACAAAUAAA
rnacentral:rRNA from 1 species